GUCCCCUUCGUCUAGAGGGACACCGCCCUUUCACGGCGGUAACAGGGGUUCGAAUCCCCUAGGGGACGCCA
rnacentral:tRNA from 1 species